CAAUAGCGUAUAUUAAAGUUGUUGCGGUUAAAAAGCUCGUAGUUGGAUUUCUGCUGAGAACGACCGGUCCGCCCUCUGGGUGUGUAUCUGGCUCUUUCUUGGCAUCUUCUUGGUGAACGUUGCUGCACUUGACUGUGUGGAGCGCUACCCAGGACUUUUACUUUGAGGAAAUUAGAGUGUUUCAAGCAGGCAUACGCCUUGAAUACAUUAGCAUGGAAUAAUAAGAUAGGACCUCGGUUCUAUUUUGUUGGUUUCUAGAGCUGAGGUAAUGAUUAAUAGGGAUAGUUGGGGGCAUUCGUAUUUAACUGUCAGCGGUGAAAUUCUUGGAUUUGUUAAAGACGGACUACUGCGAAAGCAUUUGCCAAGGAUGUUUUCAUUGA
rnacentral:rRNA from 1 species